rnacentral:rRNA from 1 species
GUAGGUGGCAAGCGUUGUCCGGAAUUAUUGGGCGUAAAGCGCGCGCAGGCGGUUCUUUAAGUCUGAUGUGAAAGCCCACGGCUCAACCGUGGAGGGUCAUUGGAAACUGGAGAACUUGAGUACAGAAGAGGAAAGCGGAAUUCCACGUGUAGCGGUGAAAUGCGUAGAGAUGUGGAGGAACACCAGUGGCGAAGGCGGCUUUCUGGUCUGUAACUGACGCUGAGGCGCGAAAGCGUGGGGAGCAAACAGGAUUAGAUACCCUGGUAGUCCACGCCGUAAACGAUGAGUGCUAAGUGUUAGGGGGUUUCCGCCCCCCUUAGUGCUGCAGCUAACGCAUUAAGCACUCCGCCUGGGAGUACGACCGCAAGGUUG